UUUAAGGGAGCUCGUUCUCUGAACGCAUUGAGAAAUGCGUAAAUUACUCGAAUAUUUUUUAAAUUUUCAGAAUCUGGCAUUAAAAAGCUGCGGGAGAGGAUGCGGCAGGAAAUAUAGUAUUUCCUAUCAUUUUACGUGUAUGAAGAUACAAGGGCAUUGAUACAAUUGUUCUAUUUCAUACAGGUUUGCCGUUACACAGGUGAAAGGUUCCUUCGACUGCCUUUUGUAGAUACUGAAGAUGAUAUUUUUGAUAAAUGCAUCAUUAAAGAGCAAUUCUGGAUCACCCGUACAAAAUUGUUUGGGAAUUCUUCUUUCUUUCCUGAAAUUAGGAACGAUGUUACGGAAUACGUUAGCGACAAAAAUGAUUACGCUUUUUUGACACCUCUCUCUUUAAAGGAUUCGAUGGAGAAUGAAAAAUGGUUACACCUAGAAUUAAAUAAGGAUCUUUUAAUAAAUUCGGAUAAAGAGGAUGAAAUGCAUAUGUUGCAUGAAAUAACAGG